rnacentral:rRNA from 1 species
CCUACGGGUGGCAGCAGUGGGGAAUAUUGCACAAUGGGCGCAAGCCUGAUGCAGCCAUGCCGCGUGUAUGAAGAAGGCCUUCGGGUUGUAAAGUACUUUCAGCGGGGAGGAAGGAGAUAAGGUUAAUAACCUUGUCGAUUGACGUUACCCGCAGAAGAAGCACCGGCUAACUCCGUGCCAGCAGCCGCGGUAAUACGGAGGGUGCAAGCGUUAAUCGGAAUUACUGGGCGUAAAGCGCACGCAGGCGGUCUGUCGAGUCGGAUGUGAAAUCCCCGGGCUCAACCUGGGAACUGCAUUAGAAACUGGCAGGCUGGAGUCUUGUAGAGGGGGGUAGAAUUCCAGGUGUAGCGGUGAAAUGCGUAGAGAUCUGGAGGAAUACCGGUGGCGAAGGCGGCCCCCUGGACAAAGACUGGCGCUCAGGUGCGAAAGCGUGGGGAGCAAACAGGAUUAGAUACCCCUGUAGUC